rnacentral:piRNA from 1 species
CCCGGAAUGUUCUGGACACCUCCUGGC